rnacentral:misc_RNA from 1 species
AGGUAUAUUGUUGACGCGCCCGAUCGCGAGCCUUUUGGCUGAAACACUCGGAUGGCGCGGCGUCUACGCGUUCGCCGCUAUAGCAGUCGCGGCAACUGGGCUAAGCCUUCAUCGAGCACUUCCUCAACGGCGUCCGCUUCUUCGCUCGAGCUACGGCGAGAUCGUCAAAUCUCUUUGGCGACUCCUGAUAGAGGAGCGAAUUCUGCGUAUGCGUGCCAU